rnacentral:misc_RNA from 1 species
GGAAGGAUCAUUACCACAUCCAAAACUUUAUAAACCCACAAGUGUGAAGUUGUGAAAGAGAGCUUCUUCUCCUUUUUGGAGGAAAAAAAAAGGAAUGCUCUCUGUAACUAAACUUUUUUUUAAAUUUUGAACCCCUUUUGAACUUUUUUUUUUGAAGAAUAAGCAAGACUAAAAACAAAAAAAUGAGAAAAGAGAAAAACAACUUUUAACGGUGGAUCUCUUGGCUCGUGCAUCGAUGAAGAACGCAGCAAGCUGCGAUACGUAAGUGAAUUGCAGAAAUCAGUGAAUCAUCGAGUCUUUGAACGCAACUUGCGCUCUCGGGUAUUCCCGGGAGUAUGCCUGCUUGAGUGUCAUUUCAACUCUCCUUUUUUUCUUUUCUUCUUCUUUCUUUCUUCUUUCUUUUUUUAUUGGAAACUUUAAAAAAGAAGAAAAAGAAUCACAAAAAAAGAAAAAGAAAAAAAAGGGUUUUGAGCUGAGACGGACCUUGGAGUCUGUGCAGCUUUAAGAUUGUUGGUGAGGGAGCAAAAAGGGUUUCCUUUUUGUUUUCUUCCUAUAACCACCUGAUGUGGCAAUUUUCCUGCAAAGGAGAAACGAUCAUCUUGUGAGGGAAAGAAAACUGAAUUGGUCAUGGCUUUUUUUAUUCUAUUCCAAACUCACACUGAAAUGACCUUUUUUUUUUCUUCUUCUUCUUCUUCUCUUUUGUUUUUUUCUUUUUUUUUGAGGAAAACAAACAAAAAGAGAGAGAGAGAGAGAGAGAGAGAUAAAAAAAACAACUCAAAAUUUGACCUCAGGUCAGGCAAGACUACCCGCUGAACUUAAGCAUAUCAAUAAGCGGAGGAAAAGAAACUAACAAGGAUUCCCCUAGUAACGGCGAGUGAAGCGGGAAGAGCUCAAUGUUGAAAUCUCCGGGGGGAACCUCGGCGAAUUGUAGUUUAGAGAAGUGUUUUCUGGGGUGGGCAGCGAUCUAAGUUUCCUUGGAAAAGGGCACCAUGGAGGGUGAGAGUCCCGUUUGUGGUUGCCUGCUGCACUCCUAUACGAAGCAUUUUCGAAGAGUCGGGUUGUUUGGGAAUGCAGCCCAAAAUGGGUGGUAAAUUUCAUCUAAAGCUAAAUAUGGGCACGAGACCGAUAGCGAACAAGUACCGUGAGGGAAAGAUGAAAAGCACUUUGAAAAGAGAGUCAAAUAGUACGUGAAACCGUUAAAAGGGAAGCGAUUGGAGCUAGCAGUGCGACCAUGGCAAUCAGCCGGAGGGGUGUGAGCCUGGGUGCUGGUGGAGCGCAAGCCCACUGGUGUUCUGGCCCCUUGCACUUCUGCGGUGCACUUGUUGUGGUGGCGGGUCAACAUCGGUUCUGCGUGCGGGGGACGGGGGUACGGAAGGUGGCUCCCUUUGGGGAGCGUUACAGCUGUGCCUCUACGCCGCGUGCGGGACCGAGGGUGUCGCAGCACAUGCCGCAAGGCUGGGGAACCGUGCUUUCUUUGUGUGACGAGUGUGCGACUGCGUGCAGUGGUAUGCUUAGCGCGUGGAGAGGGGUGCGGGGACCACAAACUGUGCUUCGGAUGUUGACGAAAUGGCUUCAAACGACCCGUCUUGAAACACGGACCAAGGAGUCUAACAUAUGCGCGAGUCUUAGGGUGUCAAACCCCGGGGCAUAAUGAAAGUGAAGGCGGUCUUGGGCCGCUGAGGGGCGAUCCCCGUAAUGGGGCGCAACCCGACCGAUCUGGAUAUUCUUUGAAAGAUUUGAGUAGGAGCGUAUCUGUUGGGACCCGAAAGAUGGUGAACUAUGCCUGAAUAGGGUGAGGCCAGAGGAAACUCUGGUGGAAGCUCGUAGCGGUUCUAACGUGCAAAUUGAUCGUCGAAUUUGGGUAUAGGGGCGAAAGACUAAUCGAACCAUCUAGUAGCUGGUUCCCGC